ACCUGAAGUCAGUGCUGCUCUUGGACUUUUCGAGUAAACGAGUCCAUAUGUUCCAAUUUUUCAAUAUGUUUUCUUACCAUGUUUGACAGGAAGAAUAACAAGUGAUACCCUGGAAAAGUGUCCAUGCUCCUGGAGAUGCACGGAAGGCGAUGUCCUGACAGAAGAGCGUGCUUGCUUGGGCACAGAGGUGGUUUGACCAAGGCAAAUUUACCAGUGAGAUUUGAGAUAUUUAUAAAAAUAAAAACCUCCAAAGAGUGAAGAUGAGAACCUGGGGUGGCUUCGUGACCAUGGGGGCUGACUGCCCUUAUCUUCAACCAGUACAGCAAAAGCAAGGUUUGGGGGCUGUGACUGUGGAGUGGUUCUCACUGUACAAGACCCCACUGACCCCACGGCUUUCUCUGUUGGAAGGACACUGAUAGCCGCUGGCACGUAUUUACUCAUCCUUGUGAAUUUGUUGGCUUGAUGUAGAGCAGACAGCAGGUUUCUGAGAAGCCUGAAAGCAGGCCAGUGGGGCAGGAAUUUCUCAGACUGUGGUGGACAAGACUUAUUGGAGAUGGCCAGCACCUUCCUGUGACUCUCUAGUGAACUGUGAC
rnacentral:lncRNA from 1 species